rnacentral:lncRNA from 1 species
CUCCUUUCAAAUAAAUUGAAAUGAUUGAAGUUUUUCUAUUUGGAAUCGUCUUAGGUCUAAUUCCUAUUACUUUGGCUGGAUUAUUCGUAACCGCAUAUUUACAAUACAGACGUGGUGAUCAGUUGGACCUUUGAUUAAUUAACAUACCUUUUUUGGAUUAAUUAACAUACCUUUUUUUGACUGACCCCUUUAAUUCUUAAAUUUUUGAAUUUCAAUUUAUUUAAUAAUUUUAAUUUUAUAAUUUAAUCCAAGGAGGUCAAAUUCGAAUUGCUGUUCAAUUUUUU